rnacentral:lncRNA from 1 species
UUGAACCCGGGCCGCACGCAUGCCAGGCAAGCGCGCUAUGGCUUCAGCCACAUCCCCAGCCCCCUCAAACCCUUAAUAUUUCAUCAUUGAUGUCAAAGCUAAUUUAGAUAUAAUAACACAUGGCCCCUAUUACUGUAGUUAAGUAUGGAAUGUUUGUGUAACUAAUUUAGAUAUUUCUAUUGAUAAUGAUGACUUCAGCUGCUACCUUCUUAAAACCAAGUGUUUUACAGCAUUAUAUAAAGAAUGAUUUUAUUACAGGUUCUGGGAAUACACAGCAUGUCCAGAGGCCACACACACACACACACACACACACAGAGCUCAGCAAGACUGUGUGGACCCAGGGUGUCUGCAUUUAUUGGGAAUCCCACAUGGGGAAUUCGAGGAUCCAGGGAGGACAGUGACUAUGAAGUUUAAAGGACAGAGGUGUGAAAACCCUUUCCCAAAGUGAGGUGUUAUCUGGCACCUAGGUUGGGUGAGUGGCUUUGGGAUGAGAAGUAUCUGUUCUCAGAGAAUAGAAACAAAUUUGUUUCCUCAUCUUAUGGCCAAAUGUACCUUGUAUGAUACCCACCACAGGCCUGAACACACCUACCAUUGAUACCUGAUCAAAGUCCUUUUCCCUCAUUUUUGUUUGCCCUGCCUCUACCAGAACCUUGUUAGGCUGGAUUCGCAAGUAUCUGAAUACCCUAGAUAGCUCAUCAAGUCUCUCUUCAUAAUUUCCCAUCCACCGAUCACCUCACAGUGCACAUUGACUAAAUCCCCAACUCUCUGUUUUCAUAGUUGAUUCAGCCUCUGGGAUGUUUUGCAAGGGUCAUGACCUCUACUUACAAUAGUCUGGACUAAAAGCUUCCUUGCCAGUUUGUAACAAGUUCCAGACUAAAUUGUUUCCUUUAAUAGUUCUACAUUACAAAGCAUGAUUUAAAAACCUGUUUUCGGUUUCCAGUAUGACUAAAGGAACAUGAAAGCUUUCAUCUGCCUAUACCUUGUAAGAACGUCUUCAUAAACAGGAUGGGUAGGAGUGGAAGAUCAUAAUGACUUUUACAAAAGCACUAUGUUCCAAAAUUUGUAGGUCAAAAUUGAGUCUCUAUAACGGGUUGGGGUUGUUGCUCAAGUGGUAGAGCGCUCGCCCAGCACACAUGAGGCACUGGGUUCUAUCCUCAGCACCACAUAAAAAUAAAAUAAAGAUAUUGUGUCCGGCUAAAACUAAAAAGUAAAUGUUUUUAAAAAGUUGAAUAUCUGUAAAUCAAGGAGUCAGAAUGCUUACAUACUAUCAUUUUGAUACAAGGGAUCCCUUUGAAAUCCUUUAUGAUUAUUUUUGUGAAAACAGUCCACACA